AGAACGAACGCUGGCGGCAGGCCUCAAACAUGCAAGUCUAGGGGGUGUAGCAAUACAUCACCGGCGGACGGGUGCGUAACACGUGGGAAUAUACCUUUUGGUUCGGAACAACGCAGGGAAACUUGCGCUAAUACCGAAUGUGCCCUUACGGGGAAAGAUUUAUCGCCAAAGGAUUAGCCCGCGUAGGAUUAGCUAGUUGGUGAGGUAAUGGCUCACCAAGGCUCCGAUCCUUAGCUGUUCUGAGAGGAAGAUCAGCCACACUGGGACUGAGACACGGCCCAGACUCCUACGGGAGGCAGCAGUUGGGAAUCUUGGACAAUGGGGAAACCCUGAUCCAGCCAUGCCGCGUGAGUGAUGAAGGCCUUCGGGUUGUAAAACUCUUUCGACGGGGACGAGUAAUGACGGUACCCGUAGAAGAAGCUCCGGCUAACUUCGUGCCAGCAGCCGC
rnacentral:rRNA from 1 species